rnacentral:rRNA from 1 species
CAGUAGCCGCGGGAAUACGGAGGGAGCUAGCGUUAUUCGGAAUUACUGGGCGUAAAGCGCACGUAGGCGGCUUUGUAAGUUAGAGGUGAAAGCCUGGAGCUCAACUCCAGAAUUGCCUUUAAGACUGCAUCGCUUGAAUCCAGGAGAGGUGAGUGGAAUUCCGAGUGUAGAGGUGAAAUUCGUAGAUAUUCGGAAGAACACCAGUGGCGAAGGCGGCUCACUGGACUGGUAUUGACGCUGAGGUGUGAAAGCGUGGGGAGCAAACAGGAUUAGAUACCCCCGUAGUCCCUGUCUCUUAUAA